GUGGCAUAAUUUUGGCUGAUGCCUCACAAAGAAGAAAGUCUCAAAAUGGUGAUAUCCUAUUACAUGGCAUCAAGUGUUCCCCACAGACAUAUGGUAAAUGGCCAGGCAAGAGAGUGGGAGUAGACUGUGCUACAACAGAAGUGUGCAGAGGAAAACUCAUUUGCUGGAAGCAGUAGUUACAGGGGGAUCAAGUCAAGCCACAGAACUCAUCCUGGCAAGCGGAACUCGCUCUCACGCAACCCAGUCUUAGUGCAUUAUUCACCAGUCGUGCCUGGACAUCUCUCCCCAGAUCAUUGGUGGGCACGGAACAUGCUGGAAGAAGAGUGGGUCCCUCCAGGGUCAGAGCGGCACAGCUGGUUGUUACAAGGUCAAACAGACCCAAUACCCUGUUCUAGAGGUGGAUUCACCAGGAGAGUGGUGAUGUGACCCAAGGUCACCGUAGCAAGUGGUGCUGGAGUCAGCAGCAGAGUGAAAUUUCCUGGCUGUCGUCUCCAUGCUGUUCUCUCGCAUCACUGAUUGCUCAGGUCAUCCAGACCUGCA